AUACGCAUGAUCUCUGCAUGUCACAGAUUUAAAUCAGCGUAAAGGCCUAUAGCCAAUUGUAGGGGGCACAAUUGCCUAUAGGCCUUUACGCUGAUUUAAAUCUGUGACAUGCAGAGAUCAUGCGUAU